AACUGGUUAGCUUAGACAGUAAAGAAUCUGCCUGCAAUGCAGAAGACCCAGGUUCAAUCCCUGGGUUG
rfam:TPA: Bos taurus chromosome 7, whole genome shotgun sequence.